GCACUUCUAAAUUUUAUUACUAAUUAGAAUUUAACAUGCUUGGGGGUUUGGGAUGAGGUGUUAAGUACCAAGUAUGUUACCUUGGACAGGGUGAGCUUUUUCCAGUUCAGAAUUAAUACCCCUACAGAAAAUAAGAGCAAGGGGAUGCUUCACCCAGAUGGUUUUGCUCUUUGGUAUCUACACACAUUCUGAAAACACCUAAUGUACUUUUAAACUUUUCUGUGCACUGGCAUUAGGUGAUGACUGCUGGCUUUCUUUCCUUUUCAGUUUGCCCUUUGCUCUCCAAACAACUUUUAGUUUGGAAGGCUGUAAUCAGCCCACAAAUCUGGACUAGUGGCAUAAAAAAAAUUGUGUAAUAGCGGGGACACAUGAGUG
rnacentral:lncRNA from 1 species